AGAGAGAAGCCAGGUGGCGACACCGAGCGGAACUCGAAAGCCUGUCUCAGUUCGGAUCGGAGUCUGCAACCCGACUCCGUGAAGCUGGAUUCGCUAGUAAUCGCGCAUCAGCCAUGGCGCGGUGAAUACGUUCCCGGGCCUUGUACACACCGCCCGUCAAGCCAUGGAAGCCGGGAGUGCCUGAAGUAUGCAACCGCAAGGAGCGUCCUAAGGUAAAACCGGUGACUGGGGCUAAGUCGUAACAAGGUAUC
rnacentral:rRNA from 1 species